rnacentral:lncRNA from 1 species
CUUAAAGAUUAAUCAAUAUAUUAUUUGUAUUUAAAGUUUACAUUAUAUGCAUUGUACAAGCCCAAAUUUACUCGGGGCCCAAUAUGGUCCAAAUAAAACCAACCCUAUACCCACCUAGACCUAACCCAAAAUCAGCCCAGUACACUUAAACAAACCCAAACUAACACAAUUACAAACCCAAAUCAGAUGGCCCAAUAAAGACCCAAAUCCCAACCCACCUAAAUCUAACCCUAACAGCCCACAACCUAAACAAAAAAGAGAAACCCUAGCCUCCUAAUCUCUGGCGCCGCACCACCUACCCUCUGCCACCGUACGGCCUCCUCCCUGCCGCGCCAACAACUCCCUGCAAAGAGAAAAGAAACACGCAAAGCAGAAUAAAACAGUAGCAAUGAGAGAUUUUCUUAGAUCUGUUUUUCUUUUCUUUCGGCUAUAAAGCCGAAUGUGUUGCAUUGUAAAGGGGGGGACCGAUCUUUAUGUUUGUAAAGGGGGGCUGGUUUUUCUUUUUCUUUUUGUAACAUUUUCCAGAAAUAAAAACAAAAAAAAAACCUUCAAGGUGACUUUUCAUUUUUUUUUACGCAUUUAGUCCUUUUUUUAUUGUUUUCUCUUCUAACAACAAUAUAUAUAUUAGUACAAGAGUUUUUAAAUAAAAAAAAUAAAAUUUUUACCUUUUUUUGAAAUUUCCGGCCACCGUGCACGGUGGCCGGCGCGGCGGCGACGUGGCGGCCCUGUUCGCCGGUUUCAGGGGAGAGGAGAGGUUUUGAGAGCUUUCUGAUUUUUU